AGAGUUUGAUCCUGGCUCAGGAUGAACGCUGGCGGCGUGCCUAACACAUGCAAGUCGAGCGAACCCUUCGGGGUGAGCGGCGGACGGGUGAGUAGCGCGUGGGUAACCUGCCCUGUACACACGGAUAACAUACCGAAAGGUAUGCUAAUACGGGAUAAAGUAUGAGAGUCGCAUGGCUUUUGUAUCAAAGCUCCGGCGGUACAGGAUGGACCCGCGUCUGAUUAGCUAGUUGGUAAGGUAACGGCUUACCAAGGCAACGAUCAGUAGCCGACCUGAGAGGGUGAUCGGCCACAUUGGAACUGAGACACGGUCCAAACUCCUACGGGAGGCAGCAGUGGGGAAUAUUGCACAAUGGGCGAAAGCCUGAUGCAGCAACGCCGCGUGAGCGAUGAAGGCCUUCGGGUCGUAAAGCUCUGUCCUCAAGGAAGAUAAUGACGGUACUUGAGGAGGAAGCCCCGGCUAACUACGUGCCAGCAGCCGCGGUAAUACGUAGGGGGCUAGCGUUAUCCGGAAUUACUGGGCGUAAAGGGUGCGUAGGCGGUCUUUCAAGCCAGAAGUGAAAGGCUACGGCUCAACCGUAGUAAGCUUUUGGAACUGUAGGACUUGAGUGCAGGAGAGGAGAGUGGAAUUCCUAGUGUAGCGGUGAAAUGCGUAGAUAUUAGGAGGAACACCAGUAGCGAAGGCGGCUCUCUGGACUGUAACUGACGCUGAGGCACGAAAGCGUGGGGAGCAAACAGGAUUAGAUACCCUGGUAGUCCACGCCGUAAACGAUGAGUACUAGGUGUCGGGGGUUACCCCCCUCGGUGCCGCAGCUAACGCAUUAAGUACUCCGCCUGGGAAGUACGCUCGCAAGAGUGAAACUCAAAGGAAUUGACGGGGACCCGCACAAGUAGCGGAGCAUGUGGUUUAAUUCGAAGCAACGCGAAGAACCUUACCUAAGCUUGACAUCCCAUUGACCUCUCCCUAAUCGGAGAUUUCCCUUCGGGGACAAUGGUGACAGGUGGUGCAUGGUUGUCGUCAGCUCGUGUCGUGAGAUGUUGGGUUAAGUCCCGCAACGAGCGCAACCCUUGCCUUUAGUUGCCAGCAUUAAGUUGGGCACUCUAGAGGGACUGCCGAGGAUAACUCGGAGGAAGGUGGGGAUGACGUCAAAUCAUCAUGCCCCUUAUGCUUAGGGCUACACACGUGCUACAAUGGGUGGUACAGAGGGUUGCCAAGCCGUGAGGUGGAGCUAAUCCCUUAAAGCCAUUCUCAGUUCGGAUUGUAGGCUGAAACUCGCCUACAUGAAGCUGGAGUUACUAGUAAUCGCAGAUCAGAAUGCUGCGGUGAAUGCGUUCCCGGGUCUUGUACACACCGCCCGUCACACCAUGGGAGUUGGGGGCGCCCGAAGCCGGUUAGCUAACCUUUUAGGAAGCGGCCGUCGAAGGUGAAACCAAUGACUGGGGUGAAGUCGUAACAAGGUAGCCGUAUCGGAAGGUGCGGCUG
rnacentral:rRNA from 1 species